rnacentral:lncRNA from 10 species
CAGCAGGUAAGUUGUAAAACCAGUAAAAAAACACAGGUCAUUAGUCAAAAGAGUGCUUCAGGUCUCCUGACUCCAAAUCCGAGAAUCCUUUCACUGUAGCAUGUUUACUGCUCAAAUAUUUCUACAACCCUAUUGCUUAACAACAGGAAUGAAUUAUUUCACCAUUUGUUGCAAACGUAUGGGUCACGUUUUGUGCCAGCAGCAGAAAAUACAGAAAUUAGUAAGAAUUACCUGCCCUCCAGGGGCAUCACCAACCUGGAUUCCCCUCUCGGCCCAGUUUUUCCACCCUUAUUGCCUUCUCCCUUCAGGAAUAAUGAACUCGUCCUGGAAGCGUACCUUACUUUUUAAUAUCUCUGCCUUGUCAUGUGCUGUUCGUCUUACCAGGAAACUACCCUGCUUUUCCCCCAGUUUUGGUCUGUGAACACAUUUGGGAAAUUCUUCUGAUCCUACCGCUACUCUCUUGAGGUACAGUAAAUUGUCUUUGACUUCCAUCACCUUUUGUAAUAUUACAAUUGCCAUCUACUGAGUUCCUAUGAUCUGCCUGGCAUUGUACUAAGUGCUUUAUAUUUUCUUGUUCAUUUUUUUAUGCCAACAUAAAUGAGUUUGACUCAAUUCUUAUUAUAACCUGCCAAAAUAAGUAUUCCUCUUCCUUUUUACAGAGAGAGAAACAAGGGAAAAAAAAGUUAAUUGCCUGAGGAUAUACUGCUAGUGUUGCGGGACAAAUAGAGACGGGAGAGGCCAAACAGAAUUCAGGACAACCCUUUAUUAUUAAGGUGAUCACUGGCUCAGUCGGACUGGGGUCCAGAAAGUCUGAGCCCGGAACAAAGGGAUCAAUCACCUUUUAAGCAAUUUGUGGCGGGAGUUUGGUGCUACAGGAAGCCUACUUGCAGAAGCAAGAACAAAGGCAGUUAAUUAUUCUUUUACAUUUGUUACACCACAUGUCUUACAUCCUUGGGAAUGCAUGCUUUUGUAGCAAUUGCUUAUCAACCUUGUGACUUUACAGCGCGCUAGGGAGGGAAGCAGGAACUCGUGGUGCCUCAAGGAACGUGAAACGGUGGAACACAGAUAAGCCUCUCCGUGCGUAGAGGAGAAAUAAGCGGUUAAUAUUCUCUCUUAACCCAGGCCUCCGGAGGGUGGGGGGCUAUAUUUCAUUCUACCUCUAAGGAAAAGAAUAAACUUCUUGACUAAUAUACUUAUAAAAUUCAUUAAUUCCCCCUUCACUAGUAAAUAAUAAAUACCUGACUUAGGAUUCCAAAAUAGGUCUUGAAUUUUUCUGCAGGAGCUCCUCAAAGUCUCUGAAUUCCCACAACCUUUUAUUAGAUCACUUAUCCCAUUGUAUUAUAAUUAUCUGUUUAACAAUUUUUCCUCACCCCUAAAGGACCCUGAGCUUCUGGAAGGUAGGGACUGUAUCUUAAAAUCUUGGCAUUUCUGAUGUCUAGAAUAUUUCAUUUAAGAGAAGGGCUUAGUAACUGUUGUGUGGGUGGGUUGAUGAGUUAACUGUCAGGCAGGUGAACUAAUAGGCUGAAGAUAAAGUUUUUCACUGUUGGAAGUGAAUUUGGGAUUAGUCAUCCUAAUCCCCUCACUUUUAGAGAUGGGGCAACUGAGUCAUGCGCGGUGGCUCACGCCUGUAAUUCUAGCACUUUGGGAGGCCAAGGUGAGCGGAUCACCUGAAGUCAGGGAUUUGAGACCAGCCUGGCCAACAUGGCGAAACCCCAUCUCUACUAAAAAUACAAAAAUUAGCCAGGCAUGGUAGCAGGAGCCUGUAAUCCCAGCUGUUCGGGAGGCUGAGGCAGGAGAAUCACUUGAACCUGGGAGGCGGAGGUUGCAGUGAGUUGAGAUCGCGCAAUUGCGCUCCAGCCUGGGCGACAAGAGCAAAACUCCACCUCAAAGAAAAAACAAAACAAGACAUGGGGCAGCUGAGGCCUUUUGUAUACCAGGCAUUUAUCGAGUUAUUCAUGUGGGCCAGUUUCUGUGAUAAAUGAUUUGCAAAUAAUACCCAACUUAAUCUGUAUUGUUAUUUUUAUUUUUACAGAUGAAGAAACAGCUCAGAUUUGACCAAGAUCACACAAGUAGGAGUUGAGGAAUUGGAACCCACUAUGACUGACUCCAAAUUAAUAUAGUGUUUAUAGCCACUUACAUAAUAAUGGUAAAGGUUUUAUUUUUUUCACUAUACAAUAUGUAGUAGAUAAAUUUACUGAGGAAAUGAGACAGCACGUGACAAAUCCUUAAAGGAUACACACAUGACAGGAAGGAUUAGAAGAGGAAACAGAAACAGGUAACAGAGAAGCAGAAAAA